CUUAUAUCUGAAUUUUUGGACAGAACCACCUGACAUAUCUAUGGUUGGAGUGCACUGCCGGGCGUGCCCCCCAACAUAUACCUCAUUGAAUUCAGAUCGACGCGUGCUCAUGGAUGAAUUGUUGGUGAUUCCCCUGCCAACUCAAGUAUGAAGAUCAUGCAAGUAAGGUUUGAUCCCACGCACUACUCGAGCUCCGCCUGGCUCCACUCGAAUGGUGCAGCGACGACUGGGGCUAGCACCACCCCCGCUCGUGGCCAGCUCCGGCACGACUCGCUGCCGGCUCGAGUGCGCCCUCGACCGGCGGCAAGGAAGCGGGUGGGGUCAAGCUGGCACAGAAGAGGCCGCCCGGCAGCCGCCGUACUCAAGGCGCGCGCAGCCGAGCGGGGCGUCGACGGAGGAGCCGCAGAGGGGUGAGGAGGCAGGUGCCAUGGCGGCGUCGCGGGGUGGAAUUACAUUGGACCUGAGAGAAGUCCUUCACAUGCAGUGAUCAUACGGGCAAUUGAGCAUGACAAAAGUACAAAGUGAUUGACAAGUUAAAUAAUCGAUUACUUGAGGAAAUUGAGGAAAGUAAGGCCUUUUUUCAGGUUUAUGAAGGUGCUGUCUACAUGCAUCAGGUGUCAAUUACCGUGUCGAGGACUUUGACUUGUCAAUUAUCAUCAAGGACAGCCUAGGCCAGUGCCCAUGCGAGCCAGGUGCAUCCAUAUCCUCAGCCUGCUAGCCGACGAUCACUACAACAAGAUCAAGAUACUAAUUCUUUCAACAUAUUUAGUAAUGGUUUGACAAUAUAGUACAUAAAUUAAGUAGUUACUUUUUACUAUUUCAUCACUGAGGCAAGCAAAGCUUAUUCUUGGAUGUGGUGAUUUUGUGGCCAUGUUGCAUUGUCUGAAGAAGCGCAUGUUUCAUCUUUUUGCACCUUGAAAAAGAAAUACUUCUGAAACAAGAAUCCCAAGUAAACUUUAUGCUGUUUAUGAAUCCAUACCGUGUCGAUGUCAAGUACCAGCAUGUAAUUCCUAGCAAUGUCUUUGUGUGGUACUAUGACUUCAGUUGCAUAUAUAGUCUGCAUAUAGUUACUUAUUGAAUUGUGUUCCUUUCAGUGUUUUUUGUUUCAGAGAUAGUACAGUUACUUUCUUAUUUCAGUGAGUUCACUGUAUUGAUGUUGAGAGUUAUACUAAAUUCGCAUUCUGGCACCUCCCUUGGAUGUUGCAUUAUGCAGACUAAGCUCAUCAAGGAGUGGGAUUCACUGGUGCAGGCUUCCUAUCUUUCAUAUUUAAGCUGGCUUGCACCACAACUGUUUGGUCAAUGCUUGGGAGGAAGAGGUCGGCAAGGAUGGAGCCAAUGAUAAGGGUGGGUAGCAGGCAAGCGAUGUACCGGUUGAUCUGCUUGUAUCAGUUUGUGCCCUUGCCACUCCUAAAGGCUCUACUGUUUGCAGGAUCCACUGCUUAGUCACUUGAACAGAACACAUGGCUGAGUUUGUAGUAGGUUCAUCCUGAUGGUUGCAAAAUCAAGCCUGAAGUACACAGUGGAGUGAUGUCUCAGUAAGCUAUGUUUAAAGAGAAUGUUUUGGAGUUUGGAACACAUCUUUUAAUGUAUAUCUAUUUCUUUUUCAAUGAACAUUAGUUUGGCAGUAUUAGUUAGUUUAUUAUACUAAUAUAAUAUGUUCUGAGUAUGAAGAUGUAAGCACAUGGUUUUUUGGUGUUGGAGUUUGGGGCUGUAUUAUGCAUUCGAGAGAUGAAAUGAUAAAAUGAGAAACCUUAAGUGAAUAAUGUGGAGGCAAUUAUAAUAAGCAAAAGAGUUUAUUUUUAUUGUUGCUUA